rnacentral:rRNA from 1 species
CCUUCUUUUUCGCGCUUUCCUCGGAAUUACUGGGCGUAAAGCGUGCGCAGGCGGUUGUGUAAGACAGGUGUGAAAUCCCCGGGCUUAACCUGGGAACUGCGCUUGUGACUGCACGGCUAGAGUACGGCAGAGGGGGGUGGAAUUCCACGUGUAGCAGUGAAAUGCGUAGAUAUGUGGAGGAACACCGAUGGCGAAGGCAGCCCCCUGGGCCGAUACUGACGCUCAUGCACGAAAGCGUGGGGAGCAAACAGGA